rnacentral:rRNA from 1 species
AUGAACGCUAGCGGCAGGCCUAAUACAUGCAAGUCGAACGGUAUAAGUUGUAGCAAUAUGACUUAGAGAGUGGCGUAAGGGUGCGUAACACGUAUGCAAUCUACCCUCAACAGGAGUAUAGCUCGGGGAAACUCGGAUUAACACUCCAUAAUAUCAUUUGAAGGCAUCUUCAGAUGAUUAAAACUGUGGUGGUUGAGGAUGAGCAUGCGUCUGAUUAGUUAGUUGGAGGUGUAACGGACCCCCAAGACGAUGAUCAGUAGGGGAACUGAGAGGUUGAUCCCCCACACUGGCACUGAGAUACGGGCCAGACUCCUACGGGAGGCAGCAGUAGGGAAUAUUGGUCAAUGGGUGAGAGCCUGAACCAGCCAUGCCGCGUGCAGGAAGACGGCCUUCUGGGUUGUAAACUGCUUUUAUCUGGGGAUAAAAAGCCCAUGCGUGGGACAUUGAAGGUACCAGAUGAAUAAGCACCGGCUAACUACGUGC